UACGGGGGGGGCGAGCGUUGUUCGGAAUUACUGGGCGUAAAGGGCGCGUAGGCGGGUGCUCAAGUCCGUGGUGAAAUCCUCCGGCUCAACCGGAGAACUGCCUCGGAUACUGGGUGCCUCGAGGGUGGUAGGGGUAUGCGGAACUAUCGGUGGAGCGGUGAAAUGCGUUGAUAUCGAUAGGAACUCCGGUGGCGAAGGCGGCAUACUGGACCACCUCUGACGCUGAGGCGCGAAAGCCCAGGGGAGGCAAACGGG
rnacentral:rRNA from 1 species